AUAUGGAAGCUGUGAAAACAAAAAAACUCCCUAACCCUGGAACAGGAUCUUAUGACACAGUUGCAGCAGCCAUAAAGGAUCCACUCAUUCUGGCCAAAUUUCACUUCUACGCAGCACUUGCCAGGACCUUCACGCCCUUCCUAACAAAAUAUCAAACAGACGAGCCGGUGCUCCCAUUCCUCUCCAAGGACCUGACCGAAUUGAUGAUAAGUCUACUCAGACGCUUCAUAAAGAGAGAAGUUCUCAACGAUAUCACUGCCCUGCAGCUGACCAAACUGGAUGUCACAGACAAGACCAUCUGGCUCAGCCCACAAAACAUCAGCAUUGGUCUAGGUGCAGAGUCAGUUCUUAAGGUAGUGGGAUGUUUUCAAAGAUCAUUUUACAAAUGGUUAGGCGAAACCAGGUCAGUGAAGGCAUGUUCUAUAUUCAUGGCUAAUUUCUUUCUCUCUAGAGCAUUAAAGGUGCAGAGCUCAGGGUGCUAGAGUUCAAGAGAGAGUGCAUGC